rnacentral:rRNA from 1 species
UACAGAGGGUGCAAGCGUUAAUCGGAAUUACUGGGCGUAAAGCGCGCGUAGGUGGUUUGUUAAGUUGAAUGUGAAAUCCCCGGGCUCAACCUGGGAACUGCAUUCAAAACUGGCAAGCUAGAGUAGGGUAGAGGGUAGUGGAAUUUCCUGUGUAGCGGUGAAAUGCGUAGAUAUAGGAAGGAACACCAGUGGCGAAGGCGACCACCUGGACUCAUACUGACACUGAGGUGCGAAAGCGUGGGGAGCAAACAGG